GGCAUAUUAAACAUAAAUCACUUCGAGAUGAUAACUGGAGCAAUCUAUUAAGGGUUUUGAUUCUGAGGCCUAUUAGGAGGGGGUGGAGGGAGGUGAGGUAUCCAAGUUCUGGGGUCUCUUAGAUUAAAUGCAGGUGGUGGAGGAGGUGAUAGUGAAGGAAUAUGAGGUAUCCAAGUUCUUGGAUCUCCCAGGUUAAAAGCUGGUGGAGGAGGUGGUUGAAAGAGAGAUGGGGUUGGUGGAAAAGGUGGGAGAGGAGGGAAUGGGAAGGACAAAGAGGGAAGUGGUGGCAGGGUAGUCAAGGGUAAUCUUGGAUAUGGUGGCAAGGGAGGG
rnacentral:misc_RNA from 1 species